rnacentral:rRNA from 1 species
UACGUAGGUGGCGAGCGUUGUCCGGAUUUACUGGGCGUAAAGAGCGCGCAGGCGGUCGUACAAGUCGCGUGUGAAAGCCCCUGGCUCAACUGGGGAGGGUCACGCGAUACUGUUCGACUCGAAGGCAGGAGAGGGAAGUGGAAUUCCCGGUGUAGUGGUGAAAUGCGUAGAUAUCGGGAGGAACACCAGUGGCGAAGGCGACUUCCUGGCCUGUUCUUGACGCUGAGGCGCGAAAGCUAGGGUGGCAAACGGG